AUUGAACGCUGGCGGCAGGCCUAACACAUGCAAGUCGAGCGGAUGAAGGGAGCUUGCUCCUGGAUUCAGCGGCGGACGGGUGAGUAAUGCCUAGGAAUCUGCCUGGUAGUGGGGGAUAACGUCCGGAAACGGGCGCUAAUACCGCAUACGUCCUGAGGGAGAAAGUGGGGGAUCUUCGGACCUCACGCUAUCAGAUGAGCCUAGGUCGGAUUAGCUAGUUGGUGGGGUAAAGGCCUACCAAGGCGACGAUCCGUAACGGGUCUGAGAGGAUGAUCAGUCACACUGGAACUGAGACACGGUCCCGACUCCUACGGGAGGCAGCAGUGGGGAAUAUUGGACAAUGGGCGAAAGCCUGAUCCAGCCAUGCCGCGUGUGUGAAGAAGGUCUUCGGAUUGUAAAGCACUUUAAGUUGGGAGGAAGGGCAGUAAGUUAAUACCUUGCUGUUUUGACGUUACCAACAGAAUAAGCACCGGCUAACUUCGUG
rnacentral:rRNA from 1 species